CGAGCGGGGAAGGUAGCUUGCUACCUGACCUAGCGGCGGACGGGUGAGUAAUGCUUAGGAAUCUGCCUAUUAGUGGGGGACAACAUUCCGAAAGGAAUGCUAAUACCGCAUACGCCCUACGGGGGAAAGCAGGGGAUCUUCGGACCUUGCGCUAAUAGAUGAGCCUAAGUCAGAUUAGCUAGUUGGUGGGGUAAAGGCCUACCAAGGCGACGAUCUGUAGCGGGUCUGAGAGGAUGACCCGCCACACUGGGACUGAGACACGGCCCAGACUCCUACGGGAGGCAGCAGUGGGGAAUAUUGGACAAUGGGCGAAAGCCUGAUCCAGCCAUGCCGCGUGUGUGAAGAAGGCCUUUUGGUUGUAAAGCACUUUAAGCGAGGAGGAGGCUACUNGGAUUAAUACUCUAGGAUAGUGGACGUUACUCGCAGAAUAAGCACCGGCUAACUCUGUGCCAGCAGCCGCGGUAAUACAGAGGGUGCGAGCGUUAAUCGGAUUUACUGGGCGUAAAGCGUGCGUAGGCGGCUUCUUAAGUCGGAUGUGAAAUCCCUGAGCUUAACUUAGGAAUUGCAUUCGAUACUGGGAAGCUAGAGUAUGGGAGAGGAUGGUAGAAUUCCAGGUGUAGCGGUGAAAUGCGUAGAGAUCUGGAGGAAUACCGAUGGCGAAGGCAGCCAUCUGGCCUAAUACUGACGCUGAGGUACGAAAGCAUGGGGAGCAAACAGGAUUAGAUACCCUGGUAGUCCAUGCCGUAAACGAUGUCUACUAGCCGUUGGGGCCUUUGAGGCUUUAGUGGCGCAGCUAACGCGAUAAGUAGACCGCCUGGGGAGUACGGUCGCAAGACUAAAACUCAAAUGAAUUGACGGGGGCCCGCACAAGCGGUGAAGCAUGUGGUUUAAUUCGAUGCAACGCGAAGAACCUUACCUGGUCUUGACAUAGUAAGAACUUUCNAGAGAUGGAUUGGUGCCUUCGGGAACUUACAUACAGGUGCUGCAUGGCUGUCGUCAGCUCGUGUCGUGAGAUGUUGGGUUAAGUCCCGCAACGAGCGCAACCCUUUUCCUUAUUUGCCAGCGAGUAGUGUCGGGAACUUUAAGGAUACUGCCAGUGACAAACUGGAGGAAGGCGGGGACGACGUCAAGUCAUCAUGGCCCUUACGACCAGGGCUACACACGUGCUACAAUGGUCGGUACAAAGGGUUGCUACCUAGCGAUAGGAUGCUAAUCUCAAAAAGCCGAUCGUAGUCCGGAUUGGAGUCUGCAACUCGACUCCAUGAAGUCGGAAUCGC
rnacentral:rRNA from 1 species